UCGGCCAUGCGGUUUGUGGUAACUGGUUCCAGCAGCCCUAGGAAUCUAAUACACUGCCCAUGUUAUUUUGAGGAUCAAGUGAAACUUAGAAACAAUAACAACAAAAAAAGCAAAGUCUGUGAUCAAGAAGAAUUACUCUGUUGCAACAAUAUAAACUAAGAAAAAAAUACGCAAAAUUCUCUGCUGCCUUGGGAGAUGACCUCAUGAUGUGUAUCAUUUACUUUUAAUACUUUUAUUUAUUUAUUUUUGAGACGGAGUCUCGCUCUGUCGCCCAGGCUGGAGUGCAGUGGCGUGAUCUCGGCUCACUGCAACCUUCGCCUCCCGGGCUCAAGUGAUUCUCCUGCUUCAGCCUCCUGAGUAGCUGGGAUUAUAGGCACGUGCCGCCAUGCCUGCCUAGUUUUUUAUUUUUAGUAGAGAUGGGGUUUCACCAUGUUGGUCAGGCUGCUCUCAAACUCCUGACCUUGUGAUCUGUCCGCCUCGGCCUCCCAAAGUGCUGGGAUUACUGGUGUGACUGACCGCGCCUGGCCAAUGUGUAUGAUUUAAUAGCCAGCAGCAAC
rnacentral:antisense_RNA from 1 species